rnacentral:rRNA from 1 species
UACGAAGGGGGCUAGCGUUGCUCGGAAUUACUGGGCGUAAAGCGUGCGCAGGCGGUUCGUGAUGUCUGGUGUGAAAGCCCCGGGCUUAACCUGGGAAUUGCAUUGGAAACUAGCGGGCUGGAGUGUGGCAGAGGGGGGUGGAAUUCCACGUGUAGCAGUGAAAUGCGUAGAGAUGUGGAGGAACACCGAUGGCGAAGGCAGCCCCCUGGGCUGACACUGACGCUCAUGCACGAAAGCGUGGGGAGCAAACAGG